AUGGACACAUACAAACAAAAGAAUGAGUAUAUACGGGUGAGGAGAGAUUCAGUAGAAGGAAAAGAAGAGGGGAAGGUUACGGAAGCAAAAUUUUUCUACCACUUCAUCACCCAUUUGAAUCCUACUAUUAAAUUAUGUCGAAUAAGGGAUUGAGGCUGAAAUUGGAGCUGCUACUAAUAUCGAAUCUUGGCUAACUUAGAGUCAAGAUUUUAUCAAAAUAAAAUCCUGUUAUCUCUUGUAUUAGUAUUUAACCAUGUUGUAACGUUGUGUGUGAACUUGUAGUUUUAUUUUGUUGUUGGACCUUGACUAUGUAAGAAUUUAAAAUUUCCUAAUUAGUAGUUAAAUUUUUUA